rnacentral:tRNA from 1 species
GCCUGGGUGGCUCAGUUGGUUGAGCAUCCGACUUCGGCUCAGGUCAUGAUCUCACGGUUCGUGGGUUCGAGCCCCGCGUCGGGCU